UAAAGAAAAGUUUCUUAAGCAUCGUUUAAUGCUUUGGUUUGAACUGCUUUGAAAGGAAGAAUACAAAGACAUGAAAAUACAUUCAUAUAAAUUCUUACUUCUCCUUUGAAUUUAAAUCAGGAGUUCCAUUUUGCCUUGGAAAAGGCAGACCUUCAUUCUGACUCUAUGAGAAGAGGGAACAGAAAGUGAGGAGAAAUACGGACCUACUUCUGUGAAGGCCAGGGUGUGACCAGAACAAGGAAUCAGGCUUGUUUCAUCCUAGAAGAAUUUUCUGCUUCUUAAGUUGCUGCGUCAUGGUUCUGUCUUUGAACUCAUCUUAAAGUUUUAACAUGUGUUUUCAAA